AUGUGAAUAUAAGGUCAACCAGAUAUCCUCCCUUCUGUAUAUAUGCACUUUGCUUGUUAUUUCCCUGGCAAUAGCUUUGUACCUUAUCUUUAAUAUUUCCUUGGAUUAGUUGUCAAUUUGUUUGAUGAUUUUCAGUGUAGUAU